rnacentral:lncRNA from 1 species
UUUUGAACGAUCAGACUCUCUCCAACACUAAUUUCCGGUAAAUCUUUUCAUUCUUAUUAGAACUAAUCUCCUCCUUCUCCCUUCUACGCACAAGUUUUAAAUUAGUUCUAUAUUCCUCUUCCCUGUGUUGUGACUUCGGAACGUAUCAUAUCCAAUGUAUAGGAUUCAAUAGAUAAACUCGUCGGACUUGAAUCUCCCUCCAACCUUAUCAAGAAGCGUUUUCAUUGCCUUCAAGACUCUUCGUGGCCAUUACUUUGUGGAUAAUGAGGCGAUGAUGGUCCCCAUGUUACUCCCCACAUAGUUAAGAAUUCUUGAAAGGCUUUAGAAUUGAAUUGAGGUCCUUGAUCAGUCUUUCAUUUGACAUAAACACCUGUUUCUGAAAAUAUUUUCCUCAGCACUACUAUAACUUCUCCUGAAGUCUGUACUCUUCUAAAUUCCUCGACAUCUGCUGACGGAUUUUCGAAAGGUCUCAUCGGAAUUGGAUCUCUCAUCAUUGUCUCCCCUCCAAUACUUGGCCAAUAUACCGACUGCGUCGCUCUUCUCUUUGUUCUCUCGAUUCCUUGAUGUGCACGAUAUAAUAACCUCUGACGAACGUCACACCGUUUUCUUCUUGUAAUUACCAGUCUAUCCUUAUAAAGAAUAAGACCAUCUUCUAUGCUCUAUUCAUGUAAUAUUUUCACAAAUGAUUCGAUUGUGUCUUUUAUCACACCUGUUUCAAUUGCAUUAAUUAAAUCAAUAUAUUCUCGGUCUCGACAUGCUUCUUUACGAAUUUCUUCAAUCAUCGGAUCCACUAAUCUGUCAUCUUCUUCAAAAUCGGAAAUCUUUAUCACUGCUAAUCGGAUUAUCUUAUCUCUUUAAUGACAUAUUUCUUGAUCUAAUUCAUCAUCUUCUUCUGGGAAUGAUACGGGUGCUCUUCAUAACGCAUCUGCAAUUUCAUGGUUCUUCCCUUUCCUCCAUUCUGUCUUAAACUGAUACAAAGCUAACUUCAUUUUAUAUCUAAUCAGUCUAACAUUUUCAAGCAUAUCUAUUGUAUAAUUUUUAAGAAUAGAAACCAACGGCUUGUGAUCCGUAAUAACACCGAAUGUUGGUAAUUCUACCAAGAACAAAUGACAUUUUUUGAUUGCUCAAAACACACCUAAACAUUCUAGUUCAAUCAUAGCUUAACGAGCUUCUGCGUUCGACAAAAAAUCUUGUACACAUUGUACAAAUUUCCAUCCUUCUUUAUUUUUGUGUCUUAAUACAAAUCCUAAACCAUUAACUUUUGAAGCAUCAGUUUCUAUUCUCGUUUCCAACUUUGGAUUGAACGGAGUCAAAGGUGGAGAUAUUAAUGUUUCUUUUAUCUUUUCCAUAGCCAUUCCAUGAUUUCUUGUCCAAAUUAAUUCAACUUUAGAAGAUAACAAUUUCCUCAAAGGACUAACCAAUUUACUAAUAUUCGAAGAAAAUUGACUUAAUUGGUUUACUAAACCCAUAAAACUUCUGAAAUUUUUCCUUGAUGAUGGUUCUUUAAACUUUUUCAUUGUACUCAAUUUAUCAGGACCAUCUUCAAUUCUCUUUUGAGAUAUAAAAUAUCCACAAAACUUUACCCUAGGUUGUGCAAAUGAAAACUUUGUUUGAUUUAAUGUAAUUUUCUUCUAACGACAUCUUUCUAAAAUUCUUCGGACUUUAUGCACAUGAUCGACAAAACUGUUUGACACUGUCAAAAUAUCGUCAACCACUUCGUACUUAUCAGUCAAACCUUCUAAAGCUUCAUCCCCCCAUUGGCAAAAAGCAUCCCCUGUUGUAAUAAAUCCCAUUGGAGCUCUAUUGAAAAUAUAUUUUCUCCAAGGUGGCAUAAGAUAUGUUAAUUCCAUAUUUCUUGUCUAACUCCAUUUGCCAAUAUCCCUGUUAUGCAUCCACAACGGUAAAAAAUUCAGAUAUCCCUGGUACACUUGACACAAUAUCUCUUUGUGUUAUUACAGGAUGAAUUGGUCUAGCUACUUGAUCAUUCAAUUUCUUCAGAUCAACAAACAAUUGUACAUUCCCGUUUGAUUUUGGAACAACCACUAAAGGAUGACACCACUCUACAGCCUUAUUGCCAACUUUGCUUAUAAUUCCCAUUUUCUCCAUGUUAUCAAUUUUUGUUUUGACUUCUCUAUACGCAUAUGUAAUUUUUCUUGCUGUAUUAAUCACAUAAAAUCAUUUUUUAACUCGCCCAUCAAUGCAAGUUUAGUAUCUUCAACAUAUCGCUUAUUACAUCUUCUCAAUGAUGCCACUUGAAUUUGUAUAUGGGGAAAUUUUUUUGGAAUUAAUUGAAGUUCUCUACAUACUCUUCGUGAUAAGUAUAACUCGGGAACACGUUCACAUACUAUUACUGUAUUUAGUGUAAAUGUAUGAAAUAUUUUCCCAAUGAUCCUCAAUUUUGAUCCUUCAACACCAAAAUUAUUUGGUAAUCUUCCUUACAUUGUAUUUUACCAUUUUCUUUCAUAAAUCCAAUUUCCUUAUACUCCCUUGAUUUUAUAAUUGAAACUUAAGCUCCUGUAUCAGGGAUUGCUUUGAUUUUCCCAAUAAAAUUUUCCUCACAACUAA